rnacentral:lncRNA from 1 species
AUGCAGGGGUACCCUGGAUUGCCUUCACAUCUGACUUUAUCCCCCCAGCUAGGCUGGGCUGCUUCUCAACCAGCAAGGCCACCUGUGCUCUUGUGUAUGCCUCGACCGCUUCAACCCAGGUCCAGGGGCAGCUCUGAGACUCUGGGGCCCCGGGGCAAUCACCAGAGAGGACAAGAAGAGAGCUGGGAGCUGCAUGGGGAGCACAACCAAAACCCUCGCCCUGUCUCCAGGCCCAGAAGGAAGUGUCUCCUGCCUCGCCUUCCUCAAGACUCGGGCAGCCAACUUGGAAUCAGCCUCCGCUUCGCUGAUGGCCAACGGGCCCUGAGAUGUGAAAUUCUGGCGGGCCCACAUCAGCAUGGUGAAUCUUUGGAGCUGGUAGAAGAAGAGGUUAUGCUCUCAUCCUCCCUGGACCGCACUGUGCGCCUGUGGAGCAGGGACGAGGAGUUCAUCGGGACCUUUGGGCAGAGCAGCCCCUGGGACAUUUUCACUCCUGCCUCCUGGAGCCACCCUAGAGUGCCCCAUGAAGUCCUGAGAGAUCCCCAGAGCAUGCCUGCUCACCCAGUGCUAGAAGGAGGUGUUCCUGCCACGUGCAGAGGAGAAGAGCAAGACAAGGUGGCGGAGGGCAAGGCCAGUGCUGAGGUUGGUCCUGGCACACACAGUUCACCUGGGCUUGCUCAUAGCUCCAGGCAGAUCGGCACUGGUUAUCAACUGUACCCUGAAAGGGUCAAGGCAUGACCCAGAGAACCAAGUCAACUCAGGAAUAAAAGCAUAUCCCAAGAUCCUGCUACUGACCAGGGCCGGGGGCCUCCUGGUUCAUCUGGGGGUAGUUGGAGCUGAUCUCCCAGCAUCACUUGACUCUGUCCCUCUUUCUCACCAGCAAAAAGGUUGUUGUCUGUGGCCUUGGAACACAGAUGGACUCAGCACCAUGCUCGACCCCCUGUCACAUCAGAGAGACAGACGCUGAAACUGCAGCCCACAGCACACAGUCCCCAUUAGGAAAUACAUUUUAACACAGGGCUUCCUGAGUGAAAGGAAGGAAUAAUGGGUUUAGUGCCUGGGUCCAUGAAAGUCAAUGUCAGAGCAAGAGAUGGUGAAAAGACCCUGGUAGAUGCAGUGUCUUGAUUUAGAGCUCAGUGAAAUAUAUGAAUUUCCAGGAAAUGCUUGCCCUUUAAUAAACUGAAAGAAAGGUCAUUUCAUGAACUAUUGCUCACUGGUUAUGUUACAACUCAAGGCAGAACACCUGCUCUGCCCACAAAUUAAUGUGUCUAGGAUUUUGUAUCUGCAGCCUCUUGGAAUACUGAUCACACAAUGGAUCCUCGUCACUGACAUCUUCACAGAGACACACUCAAUUUGGGGAAUAGGGGGUCCAGGCAAGCAUUGAUCAAGAAAGCCUUCUGCCUUGUUAGGGGCACCCUCAUUUCCCCAUGUUGUUCUCA